rfam:Hordeum vulgare subsp. vulgare, WGS project CAJW01000000 data, contig: morex_contig_2551554
UUACUACUCCCUCCGUCCCAAAAUUAUUUUUUUAGGUUUGUCUAGAAAUGGAUGUAUCAAAAUACUAAAACAUGACUAGAUACAUUCAUAUCUAAACAAAUAUAAGACAAGAAGGGACGAAGGGAGUACAAA